rnacentral:rRNA from 1 species
UACGUAGGGGGCAAGCGUUGUCCGGAUUUAUUGGGCGUAAAGAGCGUGUAGGCGGCCAGGUAGGUCCGUUGUGAAAACUCGAGGCUCAACCUCGAGACGCCGAUGGAAACCCCCUGGCUAGAGUCCGGAAGAGGAGAGUGGAAUUCCUGGUGUAGCGGUGAAAUGCGCAGAUAUCAGGAAGAACACCCGUGGCUAAGGCGGCUCUCUAGUACGGUACUGACGCUGAGACGCGAAAGCGUGGGGAGCAAACAGG